UUUAGCCCGAGCAGCAGCUCAUGCACCUCCACAAACUCAGCUCUGCUCUGUCAAAAUGCCAGACUCUAAUGAAGCUGUGCCAGCGCCGUGCCAGGUUAUCAAGGAGGAUGUCGACAAGUGUGUAAAAGACAAAGGAGCAGAGAGCUGUAAAGAUCUGAUGGAUGCCUUCCAGGCCUGUAUCAAAACUCUGUCAGAGGGAUCAUAACAAACAACAUCCUCAUAAAUAUUUGCCUUAACAGAGUCCUCCAAUAUCCCAGCAUUCCCUUCCUCUCUGUUUCCCUGGACUGAACCAUCUGAAAGAAUAAAG